rnacentral:rRNA from 1 species
AGUGAACGCUGGCGGUAGGCCUAACACAUGCAAGUCGAACGGCAGCACAGUAAGAGCUUGCUCUUACGGGUGGCGAGUGGCGGACGGGUGAGGAAUACAUCGGAAUCUACUUUUUCGUGGGGGAUAACGUAGGGAAACUUACGCUGAUACCGCAUACGACCUACGGGUGAAAGCAGGGGAUCUUCGGACCUUGCGCGAUUGAAUGAGCCGAUGUCGGAUUAGCUAGUUGGCGGGGUAAAGGCCCACCAAGGCGACGAUCCGUAGCUGGUCUGAGAGGACGAUCAGCCACACUGGAACUGAGACACGGUCCAGACUCCUACGGGAGGCAGCAGUGGGGAAUAUUGGACAAUGGGCGCAAGCCUGAUCCAGCCAUACCGCGUGGGUGAAGAAGGCCUUCGGGUUGUAAAGCCCUUUUGUUGGGAAAGAAAAGCAGCAGGUUAAUACCCCGCUGUUCUGACGGUACCCAAAGAAUAAGCACCGGCUAACUUCGUG